rnacentral:rRNA from 1 species
CCCCUCCCGGAAACGAGUUAACUGAUUNUUUNGGGAACGUCCACGGNUNNGAGCGGCGGAGGGGUGAGUAAUGCCUGGGAAAUUGCCCUGGUGUGGGGGAUAACCAUUGGAAACGAUGGCUAAUACCGCAUAAUAGCUUCGGUUCAAAGAGGGGGACCUUCGGGCCUCUCGCGUCAGGAUAUGCCCAGGUGGGAUUAGCUAGUUGGNGAGGUAAUGGCUCACNAAGGGGACGAUUCCUUUCUGGUCUGAGAGUAUGAUCAGCCACACUUUUUUUUAGACUCGGNCCAGACUCCUACGGGAGGCCGCAGUGGGGAAUUUUGCANAAUGGGCNCCAGUCUGAUGUACCCUUGCCGCGUUUAUGAAGAAC